AAUUGGUGGUGAAUGGGUGGUGAAUUGGUGGUGAAAUGGUGGUGAAUGGGCGGUGUUUUGGGGUGAGUAAGGGUGGGUUCAAGGUGGAUUGAGGUGAGUGGGAAAUGAUUUUCCGGUGUUUUGGGGUGAGUGGGGGGUGGUUUCGAGUUGGUUCAGGGGUGGUUUCGGGUGAGUCGGGUGGUUUUUCGGUGGUUUAGGGUGAGUGGAGGUGGUUUCAGGUUGGUUUUGCGGUGGUUCAGGGUGAGUGGAGGUGGUUUUGGUUUGGUUUUGCGGUGGUUCAGGGUAAGGGGAGUUGGUGGUGUGGGCUGGGAGUGGUGGCCGGCCGUUUUCGGAGGUUAAGGAGGGAGGCCGGCCGGAUUUUGGUGGUGGCCGGGGGUAGGGGUUAGGGUUUCACGGUGGUUGGGGUGGCUGAGUUUUUUUUUUUUUUUUUUUUUUUUUAUCUAAUAAAAAAAUGACUCGUGUACAAUGUAGGGCCCAUUAACGGUUUUUUGGAUGGAAAACGUUAAUGGGUAGUGCUACCCAAACGUUUUCAAACUUUCGGGUAGUUGUAAACAAAUAAAAAAAAGGUAGCUCUUCACAAAACAGCCUAUCUUCCGCAUAGUUCUACACAAUUUUCCCUAAAAAGUAAACUUGCUAAACUAGUAAGUGAAGCGAUAAAAAAAGAAUGGAGGAAGUAUAAAAACCGUCUACCCGUUCCAUUUUAAGUUCCCCGUUUGUCAUAUUUACCCAAUAAACUUCGUUUUCCCGCUCUCUUCUCCCCUCAAGGUUUGUCUGCUCCUCUUUAUCUUCAAUCCUAUCAAAAUCCCCAAUUUAUUUAGGAUUUACUGGCGAUUUUAGGGUUCUCGACAGAAACUAGAAUAGUUGAAUUGUUUGGGGUUUAGGGUUUGAAUUUUAAUUUUCUCUUUCCUCUAUUCAUCUUCAUUAAUUGAUGCUAUAGAUCAAGUGUUUGAUUCUAGAUCUUUUGAAAAAAUUUCGCCAAGGACAGAGCUCGUCUUGUUAAGCGUUGCCAUAAACCCGAUCAAAAAGUGAUUUCAGGGGCUAUUUUCAGUGUAAUUUGUGAUCUGGAUGGAGAUAGCCUGCAGUUAUGGUCGACAGUGCUUGCAGUGGUUGCAGGGAGCGAAGGGAAAUUGGUUCUGCACUAAUUUCCAGAGGCUUGCAAUGAGGAAUCUUCAAAGGAGUUGGAGUUGGAGUUGGAGUUAGAGUUGAAGCUGGAAGAAGUGACAACAAAAUUAAUAGCAGAGAAAGUUUCAGCUUCCUGGUUUAUUCAACGAGUUUCUUUUACUUUGUACCUGUUUAUCAAUAAGUGACAAGCCUUGUUCUUUAAAAUGAUGGUGGUGGUGCUGUUCGUGCUACUCGGCUUGUGCUGCUGCUGCACACCAGUUUUGCUACUGCUAUUGCUACCUACUGGUGCCACCACUGCUGCUACCUCCUAUUACUUCUCUGGCCAUCAAAUCUCAGAGUUUAUAAUUUAGAGUAUGUAUUUUUGGGUGAUUCUGUCGAACUUAUUGUUGCCGCACUCCUGCUGCUGUCUGUUGCCUAUCCUGUAGCAGUUGUGCUCCUACUGUAAUAUAUGUGGAGCUGCUGAAAUGCCUGUUGCUGUGCUUCUAAUUGUAUUUUUUUUAUUUUUUAUUUUUUUAUUUAUUUCUAUUUUUUUAUGAAAGUGUAACAUUACUGGCAUUUAUUAAUAAAAAUAUCUAAUUCUAUACUUGUACAUAUAUCUAUUUAAGUCUUUGUGUAUCAUUUUAAUGUGCAAUUUUGACAUUUCUAAUA